UAUUCCAAUAUGAGCCGUGAAGUAAAUAAAGCGGAGUUAACUGCAGAAGAAUUGGCUAAGCUUGAAGAACAGGAGUUUCAGACUGGCCCUUUUUCGAUAUUAACUUCGGCUGUUAAGACAAAUUCUCAAGUUUUAAUUAACUGUAGAAAUAAUAAAAAACUCCUGGCUAGAGUCAGAGCUUUUGAUCGUCAUUGUAAUAUGGUUCUGGAAAAUGUUCAGGAAAUUUGGACUGAAACGCCUAAGAAAUCUAAAGGUCAGCGGCAGGGGAGGCCUGUUAAUAAGUAUAGACAUAUUAGUAAAAUGUUUCUUCGAGGAGAUUCAGUUAUCAUUGUUGUUCAAAACCCUGCCACUAUCCCCUGCUAAACCUCUCAUUGUUUAAGUAUAAUAAAGACUCUUUUUAUGUUA